UUCUUCCGUUUCCUCUUCUCCACUUUCCCUGGCAUCCAGGUCGGCCUCUGCCUGAACCGAAGGAUCGGUGACCGAGAUGACUGGAGGAGCAGACUUAUCUCCAAAAGCCCUGUGGACAAAAUGACAGAUGUAGAUGAAGCACAGCUGUUCCCUUUGUUUACAUCUGGUAGACCUGUAGAGGAAAUCACGACUCCUGGCAGCAUCAGAUCUGUUUGAAAUGGAGUAAAAGCAAAUUUUUACAACGUUCAGUUCUUCUUUGUUCGGGACAAGCUCCUUGAGGUCAUCGGCAGACAGCGAGGGAAAGGCUGCGGAGACGUCUGCUUUCAGCUUCCUCCUGUCAGACAGACGAGUGAUGAAAUAUUAGUGAAA